rnacentral:rRNA from 1 species
UGGAUGUCGGAUAGUGGCGGACGGGUGAGUAACACGUGGGAACGUGCCUUUAGGUUCGGAAUAACUCAGGGAAACUUGUGCUAAUACCGAAUGUGCCCUUCGGGGGAAAGAUUUAUCGCCUUUAGAGCGGCCCGCGUCUGAUUAGCUAGUUGGUGAGGUAAAGGCUCACCAAGGCGACGAUCAGUAGCUGGUCUGAGAGGAUGAUCAGCCACAUUGGGACUGAGACACGGCCCAAACUCCUACGGGAGGCAGCAGUGGGGAAUCUUGCGCAAUGGGCGAAAGCCUGACGCAGCCAUGCCGCGUGAAUGAUGAAGGUCUUAGGAUUGUAAAAUUCUUUCACCGGGGACGAUAAUGACGGUACCCGGAGAAGAAGCCCCGGCUAACUUCGUGCCAGCAGCCGCGGUAAUACGAAGGGGGCUAGCGUUGCUCGGAAUUACUGGGCGUAAAGGGAGCGUAGGCGGACAUUUAAGUCAGGGGUGAAAUCCCGGGGCUCAACCUCGGAAUUGCCUUUGAUACUGGGUGUCUUGAGUAUGAGAGAGGUGUGUGGAACUCCGAGUGUAGAGGUGAAAUUCGUAGAUAUUCGGAAGAACACCAGUGGCGAAGGCGACACACUGGCUCAUUACUGACGCUGAGGCUCGAAAGCGUGGGG